GUCUGCUGACUGAAAACCGAAACGAGCCUCAAAGCUUAUGGAUAAGGAAUAUUAGAGACUGCGGCCUUAGCAGUCCCAGCAAUUAAUUGGCCGACAUCGCAAUCCUCCUCCGUCAGCUAUACUCUCAUGAAGCAGAAAAGUGAGCAGAACGAACGAAGCAUUGUUAAACGUGUCAAAAACCCUGAUUAAGAGAUGCGACCUCCGGCUGAGCGCUUGCCUACCACCACAAACGGUUAAGGACAUAACCGAUAUUGGCUAUUAGUAAUCUAACGAUGUGAAAAUGUCCAAGCGUGGUUUUUUUUACUCAAAACGAUACGCAGAGCGUAGCGUCAGGGUGACGUGACAUUUUGGUGUCUUAAGGUUUGGAGGAAUUGAUUUAUGGAAUCACGCAUCAAGAGGAUCUUCAUUUCAAUUGUAUUUAUGUUGGAAGCAACGAGUCACUGGUCUGUGUUAUCUGUGCUUUGGCUAUUUUUUGUUUCUAUAACUAUGACGAUGCUUAUGGCCAGUAGCAGCAGCAGGCAGGCAGGCAGGCAGGCAGGCAGCAUAAUAUCACGGUGGUAGAGCUCCGCUGUACAAAGCUUGUGUAUAUUUCUAUACAUACAUACCGAUACAUAAUACAAUUAUAUAUUACACACAAUAUCUACACAUGAGGAAACGUUCUGCAGAAAUAACGAUAUAGAUAAUAACACGCCAUGUGCUUUGAAUAUGCUCGCGUCAAGAGAGACGACGAUUUUGGCGACCGUUGCUGCCACGACGACGACGACGACGACGACGACGACGACGACAACGACGACGACGACGACGACGAAGAAAACAGCAGUAGCAACAAGAAUAAGCAAUAUUGCUACUUCAUUUGUUGCGAUUAUAGUACUCGAAUCUAGAGCAAUUCGAAGGAAGCGAUUGAAGGUUUAAAGUUGAAUUUUUAACGUUCGAAGCGAAAUGAAAAUUGGAUGUGAAUGGAUGAGCUGCAGCACUGUGAAGUAUAUUGUAUUAUUCGUAGAAAGCAUAAUAAUAUUAUGGAGGAAAAUUAGAGACGGAUGUCUACUGAGAAAAGAAAGCUAAGGCGGCAACGACGGCGGCGACGGCGACGGCGACGGCGACGACGACGACGACAAAGCAGCAGCAGCAGCAGCAGCAGCAGCAGCAGCAACAGUUGCAGCUAAAGUGUACGAUGACGGCAGACGGGAUUGUGAUAGCGUUCCGAUGGACGUGAUAUAAACGAAUCAAAUGAAAUGCUACAGCGAAAGCCAAAAUUCUCAAGGAGUUCUACCCACAUCAGAAAAGGCAAAAUACGGAAAACUACGAUGAAAAACGCUCAGUGCUAGAUACUAAUAAGCAAUGGAAAAAGUAAAAAUAACAACAAUGCUAAUAAUAAUCGGUUCUCCGCGUGUUCUAUUUUUGCUUAAAUAUUCCCUGUGUCAAAUUGGGUGACAGGUUCAAUUUUAUGCCGCGCCAUUUGGGGUCCUAGCUAGGCCGAUUUAGGCCCAAAUUUUACCAAAUACUAUGGGGCGAACACUCGUGUACUGCCAGUCCUUCCCGCUUUCAUAACAGACUAUUUCUCUAACAAUUCCCCGUGUGUGCAACCUAGUCAAAUUAAGGUGUCACCGUGCUAACGAUGAAUCAGUUUUGUUAAGCGUACCUAUUUUUUUGGGUUCACGUCAGUCACUAGAGCUAGCGAAGACUGUCAAAGAGAUCGAACAGCAAAAAUACGGGGACAGUGAGUGAAUUCUAUAGAUUUUUAUUUUCAAUUAAGCUGGAUCCUGAAAAUAUACGAUCCUCCCAAACACGGUAUCGCUUUAUUGGCAAGGUCUUCGAUCAUCUCCGUUUACUAUGCCAAAUAGAACCUGUUAUUCGCAUCUGUUCACCACAGAGUGUAAGCUACGUAAGGUACAUACCAAUAGCCCAUUAAAGGCGAAAUUUCUAAUUGUGUAGCUGCCUCCAUCGAUCCUACAUUGUUUUCCUAUUGCUUCAUAAUAACGUUGAGCUGACUUGGCGUAAGUAAGUUGUCUACUUAAGAACUUAGUGUACGUUCGUCGAACCAAACUCAAUUCUAAUGAUGUAUAUCGAAUAAGAUAAACCUGCUGGAGAGAUUCAAUCAGCUACUAAGCACUGCCAUUGCCGAACAGCUGGAUAUUACGUCGAGGCGAGGAUGGGUCCAACGGAGGAGACCAGAGAAGGGAAAAGAACUUGUUAAUUUAUUACCAGUAAAUCAAGCUAUUAUAUCUUGUUGCGCUGAUGAGCGGUUAGUUAAAGUUUUGCGGCUCACCUCUGCUAAGUUGACGCUUCUUCUUCAUAGGCCUCGCUACGAGCUAGGUAGUUUUUUUUUUUUUUUUUUUUUUUUUUUCGAUAUAGUAUAGUUAGUCGCUCAUACAGUCUAAUUAACUGUUUGACAAUAAUUAUUAAGUCAUAUUAUUUUUGCUGCCAUCAUCUUUCGUAAUGCAACAACGAACUAUCUGUAGCGCCUUUAGUACAUACCACACUUAUCCUCCCCGUACAAAAGCCAUAGAACCUGACCUAUAGCGAGGGAAAACUGCCCGCUGUGGUCCUUUUGACAAAAUACAGCUAAAUCCACUGCCAAACAAGUUAGGUAAGCAUUUUACUAAUCAAAAACAUAAUUAUCUAGAGUUUUUACGAAUUCCUCAGUGACUACUUCGAUGGUAACACUUCAGAGCCAUGCACGAUUACCGGUCUAAACGAAGUAUCGCCAGCGAAACGAUAAGCAGAGAAUUUAUAGCAUCGUUUUUACUGUGAACGCUGAUGCGCUCGCUAUGGGCAAGGCUGUACUGUUACGAGGCACGAGUUACUCGUAUGGAUGUCCACGCCGUUAGAAUUGGGACUCCUACAUAUGUUAAUACACCCAUGUGUAUCAAUCAAGGAAGGGGGGCUGAUUGAUGCUCGCUGUCCGCUUCUUCUCGACUAAUGUUACUCGACUCAGUAGGCCGUAGAGAAAAAGGCGAGCCUUCGAUUCAUUACUCAGUACUAUUCAGACGCUAGAAGUUCUCGAGCGCGUUUUGAGCGCGACCAACCGACCGCGGUCUAUGACGUAAUUACGAUUCACGUAGGUAUGUUACGUAAAUACACAGACAAUGAUCGAGUGGAAUAUUGACGGAAGUCGUGCCGGCGGCAACUGGAGCCAUACGUUUGGAUUUUGAAUUGUGUCACUUUAGGUAUUUUCGUAUGACGUAUAGAUAAUAGAUUGUCCAGCAAUCCGUGCAGCGUAAAGGUCUGUCUGUGGUGAACGUACAUGGUGGGAAUGCGAAUGACGGGUUGUACAAUUGGCUUCUGUAUUAUUGUCUGGAGUAGACGAGCAAAAUUUCUUACAUUCCAAAUAAAAUGUUACCUAUAUGUAUGUAUGGUGAGCUGGGCACGUCAUUGAUCCGUCUUUGUUUUGCGUUGCGCAGAGCACUAGUGAUCGAUGAGUGAGUGGAUUGACGUAAAAACGAAACAUUUUUUUUCGCCCAUGUAAUAGCCGUGUGUAUUGUAUAAUAUAGCAGGGUUUUCGUGUGUCUGUUUGUAAAGGUGUUAUUAUUACUGUAAAGCAAAGACAUCAUUUAGCUACAGUCGAUGAAUGGCUGCACGUGGACGUAGCGCGUAUAUAUAUAUAUAUAUAUAUAUAUAUAUAG